ACGUAGGGGGCAAGCGUUGUCCGGAAUUAUUGGGCGUAAAGCGCGUGUAGGCGGCUUGGUAAGUCUGGUGUGAAACCUUGGGGCUUAACCCCAAGCCUGCACUGGAUACUGCCUCGCUAGAGUCCGGGAGGGGAGAGCGGAAUUCCCAGUGUAGCGGUGAAAUGCGCAGAUAUUGGGAAGAACACCAGCGGCGAAGGCGGCUCUCUGGAACGGUACUGACGCUGAGACGCGAAAGCGUGGGGAGCGAACAGGAUUAGAUACCCUGGUAGUCCACGCCGUAAACGAUGGGCACUAGAUGUGGGCGGUGUCGACUCCGUCCGUGUCGAAGCUAACGCAUUAAGUGCCCCGCCUGGGGAGUACGGCCGCAAGGCUA
rnacentral:rRNA from 1 species